rnacentral:lncRNA from 10 species
UGGACUCUGUCCCCCCCACUCGCCUCUCCAUACGAGUUCAGCAUGGCUGCCGCAGACCAGGAACACACACAGCGCAGGCGCAAGGGUGCGCCCUGACUGGGGGAGGGGGAAGGAGGGCCAGAGGCUGCGGGGAGAGCCGUAGUGCGCAGGCGUCCGGACCGGAACCGCAUCUCCGGCGGCGGGGCUUGGAGCGCGCGCUUUUCGUGGGGCGGGAGCCCGCGCCCGGGUGCUGACCUCCUGCCUCAGCGCCCCCUCCCCCACUACCCGCGGCCUAGCGGGGUAGCCUCGGGUGGCCAGGCUUGUUUCCUCCUCGGUGGGUGUAAGGUGCGGCUUCGCUGGUCCUGGCCUGAAUCCAGCGGAAGCGCACGCUGCUGAGCUGUCAGCGGAGGAAAAUGGGGCCUGGACCUGGAGAUAUGAGGGUCUGGAGAGAGGGGCCCCUUCCCUGGUGUCGUGUGGUGCGACCACUGGAGAGGGAGUUUCUCGCCCUCGUCGCGCCUGCCGCGCGGAGAGAUAAGGUGCGGACCGCAGAUGUGGACUUCGUAUUUGGCUUUAGUCUUAGGCAGCCUUAAAAUCUCUCCGUGCCGUGAACCUACGCUAGACUUUUCUUUAGUGAGACCUGUGAGUCCCUGGACCGCUCUACCUUCUACGAUAUUUACCAGCUGAUAACUUUUCCUUCUCUAUUUAUUUCGUAGUGGACCGUUUAAACCUCUUAUACUCUUAAAGUUAUGAUCUCUCCUCUCCCAAGCUUGAGUGAAUUCCCCCCAAAAUUUUGGAACUGGUAACAUAAAAUGUUAUGGUGAUUCAGUUGCCAGCUAAAAAGUAAGCCUUUAAUUUGUCAUUAGCCGAUAACCUCUCCCUUGAUUACCCAGAGUAUGGUCCAGAUUUUCACGCUGCAGACCCUAAUCUCUCCUCACCGACAGAUGGCACUUCACAGAACAGAAAGGCCAAUUUGCAGAACUGGCUUCCCAUUUCCCACCUGCAAACUGGGUCAAUUGUGUAUUCCUUUCUCAUUUCACUAGAGGUCCUCCCUUCGGUUUGAGGAAAUCCUUUACUAUUGACCUGGUCAACCUUCUCUGUUACCCGGAAGCUGUCUUCCCUUCUCCCCCUUUUGACCUUUUUAAACUUUUCUCUUGGUUUCCCCGCUGACAGAAAGAUAACAACCCUCUCAAUAUCGUGCCCUCUUAGAGACUCAUGUCUCUCGGCUUCCUUGCACAGCCAAGACCUGAAAUUGAAAUUAUCCUUACUAUCUCAAUUCUUUGUCACAUUCUCUUUCCCCAUCCCCACUCUUCAAGCUACCUCUGUCAGGCUGCUACCACCAAAACUUUUCUGGCAGAUGUCACCAAGAACCUCCUAACUGGCAAAGUCAGGAAGCACUUUACAGUUCUCACUUUAUUUGACCUCUGAGGCAUUCGACAUUUGAUCAUGUUUCCUUCCUGACAUUCUCUCUACCCUUGACUUCUAUACCACUCUCACUUGUUUCUUUUCCUAUUUGUGUAACUGUUCCUCUCCAGUCUCAGUAGAUUUUUCUUCCUUAGCCCCUUUUUAUGUGUUGAUAUUUGCUGUGAUUCUUGUUUGCUUCUAAUUUUGUUCAACUUCUCUAGGUAAUCUGACUCCAUGGCUCAAAGCCUCUGAAGUCUGAAUCUUUAGUUCAGACAGCUCUCUAAGCUAAACUUUCUACUAAAUAUUCCCACUGGGAUAACUCUCAGACACCAGUAUGUUCAAAAUUGAUGAAAUCACUAUACACUCUAGACCUGCUCUUUCUCUUCUGUUGUCCUGAGUAAUGGUGGCUGUUUAACCACAAAGUCUGUAAUCUGGGAGCCUGUUCUUGAUUUCCUUUUCUCACACCCUUACAGACUCAUAAUUUUGCCUCUUAACUAUCCAUCAACUCACCCUUCUGUCCUAAUUCUAUCACCUGAGCUAUACCAACAGUCUCCUAAAUUAUUUGCUAGACACAUGGCUAUUUGGAUUUAAAUUAAUACAAUUUUAAAUUUAGUGUCUCAAUACACUAGCCACAUUUUAAGUUCUCAAUAGCCACAUGUGACUAGUGGCUGUCAUAUGGGAAAGCACAGAUUAUUGAACAUUUGUGUCAUUGCAAGAAGUUGUUUUUUUCUUUCCCUGAUACGGAGUCU